rnacentral:sRNA from 1 species
UUUUAGCCCGGGUUGUAGUGGAAAUCCUUUUUUCGGUCUUGCGACCGAAAAAAGAUUGUAACGGAAAACGGGUAUAAUU